rnacentral:misc_RNA from 1 species
CAAACUCACUGACAAAUUUGGGCGAAACGUUCUUCACCAUGCAGUGUGCAAUCAAAAUCAUGAAGUACUUAAAGCAAUCCUUGAAAAUUCAUCAUUGAUUUACCUUAUACUUGGGAAAGAUGCUAGAGGGUACACCCCUGUCCAUUUAUUCAAGGUUUUUACUCGCCCUUUGCCUUCAUUCAUUCUUGACGAAGAUACUGAUGCCUUCAUCCUUUGGAAGGAGCUGUACGAUAAAAUCGGAGACUCUUACCUGCAGGUUAGUCAUCUAUCUUAUCAUAAUAUGCCUUCGUUCUUUAUCUUUACAAUGGUGGAACUAGAUGGGAGGAUUCAAAUCCAGCCCAUACCCUCUAUUUCCUACACUCUUUAAAAAAUGCAAGGCAGCCAACUGAUUAAAGGCCUGUUUGGCUAAUUAUUGGUAACUUAUUUUGGCGUAAUUAAUAACUAGGUCACUAUAUUAUAAAAAUCAAAUGAUAAAUUUUAUUUUGGCUGAUUAAAGUGAUUUUUUUUUUAUUUGCACAAUACCCCUGUACUAAACUUUCCUUUACUGGUCCUCAUUCCCACCCACCCAAACCACACAAAACUCCUAUUGAAGCUUUCUUUCUCCUUACACUCAACUUACCCUUAUUGUUCGUGGGUAACCAAACACCAUUUUUCACAUAUCCAAAGCUCAAAGGGAGCUCUAAAGUCGUACAUAGUCAUCCCACAACCAUUCUCUACCAUUGAUUUGGUCCAAAAAUCCACCAUUGCCACCAUUGUUGUAGUCUCUGCCUCUCAAUUCUUUUGAGUUUGUAAUUGACUUUUUGGUUUGAGAAUGCAAGGAAAAUUAGUUUUAUUUGCUAAUGGAAAUUAUCAAUGAGAUGGGCUUGUUGAACUUCUAUUUGUUCUUUUUAUUUUUUUUGAAACUAUGAUUCAGAUUUUGUAAAAGUCACAAGUAGUAAAGUCCAUUCAAAUUUUUAUUAUUAGAUUUGUUAUUGUUGAUCUUUAUAUUUAUUUUAAUUUUGGGAUUAGAUUGAUGAUCUGAGUUUGUGAGUGGGAGAGAGGAAAAUAGUGGGAGAGAUAGAGAGAGAUAUAGGGAUGGUGCAAAAAUAGAGGGAAGGAGGGAAGGGAGGGAUAGUUAAAUUUUGUAAAUUUGAUUUGAUUAUAAGGGUAACUCUGUAUUUUAUUUGUCUUUAAAGGCAAAUAUGAAUAGAAAAAGUGAGUCAUUAAUGAAAUCAAACAAUAUGAACUACAUCAUUUAAGUUCAAAAAUACAGCAACUGACUCAUAAUUAUGCCAAACUACAGGGACAACUGUGUAAUUCAUUCUUAAUUAUUUGAUAAUUUUUAUGCAUAUUUAUGAUAUAUUUGCAUUUUAGUUCUCUAAAGAAAAUGAAUAGUAUUGUUAUGGUUUUAACAUUUUUCUCUCCUUUAAUGUAAUAUGUUCAUUAUUUGUAGAGGUGGCAAACAAAUCAAAUGGUUUUGGCCGCAAGUCAUAAGUGUCUCAUCAUUUUUGUUUUUGACGAAUUUAGAUCGAGUCAUCUGGUGUUGGUGGUUGUUUCCCUAAUUUUUCUCAACACUAAGUUCUGUCUAUGAUGCGGGAAUGUCAAUGAUGUAUUUCAAUGUGAAUGUGUCAUAGGUUGAUGUUGACUGUUUAUAGGCAACAAUGACUGAGGAAGCUUCACUAGAAAAAGCUGGCUCAGCAAGGAUCAAUGCCAGAAGAAAAAGCGGGCUCACAAGACCUUAGAAAGCCCCAAAAGGGUUUUCACUAAUGUAAGGGGAAGCUAAUGAAUCUCGCAUGACCUUAGAAAGCAUUAUGAGGGUCUUCAUUGAUCUUUGAAAGCCAAAGAAUGCUUAGGGAACCAUAGGAAUCUCCAAAAGGGUCUUCACCAACUUUAGAGAGUUGAUGAAUCUUGGAAAACCUUAGAAAGCUUAGCGAGGGUCUUUGCUAAUCUUAGGAAGCCAGAGGAUGCUUACAUAUAUGUGGCCUAUAUAAGUCCUAUACGAAGACUAUCUUGUGAAUCCUAUCACAACAUUGGACUUUGACGUUCUUUAUAGUAUUUAUCUAAUCCUAUCUAUGUAUAAAUUAUAAUACAAGAAAGAAUAGGUUUGUGUCCUACCUUGUCCUAUCUAUGGAAAUUCUCUCUCUCCACUUGGUAAUGUAUUUAGUGUGCUUUGCUUAAAGGGAGCUUGCAAUUUCUUCGAAGAGUUCUUGGUGCUUUAGAACUCCUUGUCCCUUGCAAGAUGGGCAAAAUUCUAGUACUUUGAAGAAAAUGUUUGCGCCACCAUGAGGGAAGCACCUUGAAGUUUCUGAGUAUUGCCGACUGACAAUGUGCCAUUAUUAAAUUACUAUAAAUAUGUGUUAGUGUGUGCUAUGUGCAAGAAAAUGAAAGUGAGAGAGUGUUGAGAGAAACAUUAGUGUGUAAGAUAAAGUGUGUGUGAGAGUGCCCUAUCAACCCUAUGUCUAAGUUAGUGUGAGUUCUAUAAAUAAGUGUGAUAAGUGUGUACACUUGAGUGAAAGAAAUGU